UGUUGUUUUCUCGAAAAUCAAUUAAAAAAGGCAGGAUUUUGUGUUGUAUUGACUUUAUCAGCUUUCUGCACUCUUUUCUUGUCUUUUUUAAUGCACUUUUCGUUUAACAAGUCAACAUCAAUUUCUUUUGUUGUAAAAGGGUCAUUGGAAGGUGGCUUUCUUUUCGGAGAAAGUGUUUAUAGCCUUUGGCCUCUGCAAUCGGAGAGAUUGAGGUCUGCAGCGUAGAUCCUUCGGGGUUAGAUACAUUUGUGCUAAGUUAUAGCCUUUCAUAGACAACUUGUUGACUAUGAUCAGUUAUGUAGCUUACUCGCUUAUGCUAUUUUACCUAC
rnacentral:rRNA from 1 species